CUUCUGGACAGUACUGACGCUGAGAUGCGAAAGCGUGGGGAGCAAACAGGAUUAGAUACCCUGGUAGUCACGCUGUAAACGAUGUCGAUUUGGAGUUUGUUGCCUAGAGUGAUGGGCUCCGAAGCUAACGCGAUAAAUCGACCGCUGGGGAGUACGGCCGCAAGGUUAAAACUCAAAUGAAUUAACGGGGGCCCGCACAAGCGGUGGAGCAUGUGGUUUAAUUCGAUGCAACGCGAAGAACCUUACCUGGUCUUGACAUCCAUAGAAUUCUGCAGAGAUGUGGGAGUGCCUUCGGGAACUAUGAGACAGGUGCUGCAUGGCUGUCGUCAGCUCGUGUUGUGAAAUGUUGGGUUAAGUCCCGCAACGAGCGCAACCCUUAUUCUUUGUUGCCAGCGAUUUGGUCGGGAACUCAAAGGAGACUGCCGUUGAUAAAGCGGAGGAAGGUGGGGACGACGUCAAGUCAUCAUGGCCCUUACGACCAGGGCUACACACGUGCUACAAUGGCGUAUACAAAGGGAAGCGAAGGUGCGAGCUGGGGCGGAUCUCAUAAAGUACGUCUAAGUUCGGAUUGGAGUCUGCAACUCGACUCCAUGAAGUCGGAAUCGCUAGUAAUCGUAGAUCAGAAUGCUACGGUGAAUACGUUCCCGGGCCUUGUACACACCGCCCGUCACACCAUGGGAGUGGGUUGCACCAGAAGUAGAUAGCUUAACCGCGAGGGGGGCGUUUACCACGGUGUGAUUCAUGACUGGGGUGAAGUCGUAACAAGGUAACCA
rnacentral:rRNA from 1 species